GACGAACGCUGGCGGCGUGCUUAACACAUGCAAGUCGAACGGUGAAGGUGGAGCUUGCUCCGCCGGAUCAGUGGCGAACGGGUGAGUAACACGUGGGCAACCUGCCCCUCACUUCGGGAUAACUCCGGGAAACCGGGGCUAAUACCGAAAACGACCUCCUUGGGCAUCCCGGGAGGUGGAAAGUUUUUCGGUGAGGGAUGGGCCCGCGGCCUAUCAGCUUGUUGGUGAGGUAACGGCUCACCAAGGCGACGACGGGUAGCCGGCCUGAGAGGGCGACCGGCCACACUGGGACUGAGACACGGCCCAGACUCCUACGGGAGGCAGCAGUGGGGAAUAUUGCGCAAUGGGCGAAAGCCUGACGCAGCAACGCCGCGUGCGGGAUGAAGGCCUUCGGGUUGUAAACCGCUUUCAGCAGGGAAGAAGCCGCAAGGUGACGGUACCUGCAGAAGAAGCACCGGCUAACUACGUGCCAGCAGCCGCGGUAA
rnacentral:rRNA from 1 species